rnacentral:rRNA from 1 species
GAUGAACGCUGGCGGCGUGCUUAACACAUGCAAGUCGAACGGAAAGGCCAGUGCUUGCACUGGUACUCGAGUGGCGAACGGGUGAGUAACACGUGGGUGAUCUGCCCUGUACUUCGGGAUAAGCUUUGGAAACUGGGUCUAAUACCGGAUAGGACAACUUUUUGGAUAUUGUUGUGGAAAGCUUUUGCGGUAUGGGAUGAGCUCGCGGCCUAUCAGCUUGUUGGUGGGGUAAUGGCCUACCAAGGCGUCGACGGGUAGCCGGCCUGAGAGGGUGUACGGCCACAUUGGGACUGAGAUACGGCCCAGACUCCUACGGGAGGCAGCAGUGGGGAAUAUUGCACAAUGGGCGCAAGCCUGAUGCAGCGACGCCGCGUGGGGGAUGAAGGCCUUCGGGUUGUAAACUACUUUCGCUAGGGACGAAGCGCAAGUGACGGUACCUGGAGAAGAAGCACCGGCUAACUACGUG